AUUGAACGCUGGCGGCAUGCCUUACACAUGCAAGUCGAACGGCAGCACGGGUGCUUGCACCUGGUGGCGAGUGGCGAACGGGUGAGUAAUACAUCGGAACAUGUCCUGUAGUGGGGGAUAGCCCGGCGAAAGCCGGAUUAAUACCGCAUACGAUCUACGGAUGAAAGAGGGGGACCUUCGGGCCUCGCGCUAUAGGGUUGGCCGAUGGCUGAUUAGCUAGUUGGUGGGGUAAAGGCCUACCAAGGCGACGAUCAGUAGCUGGUCUGAGAGGACGACCAGCCACACUGGGACUGAGACACGGCCCAGACUCCUACGGGAGGCAGCAGUGGGGAAUUUUGGACAAUGGGCGAAAGCCUGAUCCAGCAAUGCCGCGUGUGUGAAGAAGGCCUUCGGGUUGUAAAGCACUUUUGUCCGGAAAGAAAUACUUGGCCCUAAUACGGUCGGGGGAUGACGGUACCGGAAGAAUAAGCACCGGCUAACUACGUG
rnacentral:rRNA from 1 species